UGCUGGAAUCAAAAAGAGUUUCAUUAUAUAACGAAGGUAUCUAUUGCUUGUUCUUUAAAAAGAGAAAUAGAGAAAAAUCUUGAUUCUCACUUCCCCUUAGAUGUGUCUGAAUUAUUCCACUAAACAACAAAACAUGGAGAUUGAAAUCUAUUACAGUAGAUUUCUGACUCGGACUGGAGUUACUGGAGUGAGGCAGCACUAUGUAAAGAUGAUGGCAACCG
rnacentral:lncRNA from 1 species